UCUUAUGAUUUCAAUUCAUUGUUUCAAAUCUUGCCUCACACUUCACCCGUCUCUACUCACAGAAAAGUCUGCAUUUCCGUCACUAUUGUGUCUCUCUGCAUGGGAUUUCAGUGCGGAUCCUUAUCCUCCAUGUGCAGAUGCUAAUCGAGAUGGAGAUCCAGUCGGAGGAAAAUGGUUCGCUAGUUGAUGAUCCAGUUGCUGAUGAUUGUGAUCCAAACCCAUUUAUAAACUGUAUGAUCCAGUCGAUGAACCACAUGAUCAAGUCAAUGAACCAGUCCCAGCAAUGGGGAUAGAGACAGGUGCAUUCAUUUCAUUUCGAGAUCGAACAGCAGCAGCUGAUCCGGUUGAAUCAGUCGAAGGAGAAGUCGAAGAAGAAGAAAAAGAAGAAGUCGAGUCGGUUGGACCUGGCUAACGCUGUUUUAGGGAAAAGUGGUGACUAUCCCUGCAGUAGUAGCCAUAGUAGCUGUGGUAGGGAGAAGUGGUGACUAUCCCUGCAUGCAGUGGAAGGAUUCCUUAUUGUGUAGUUGCUCCCUAGUCCCCACGCUAUCUCCUCCCGACCAGUUUACUGAAAUCAAUUUAUUGAUGGUUUAUUUUUAUAUAAAUUUUUCAUAUGUUUUAGAAAUAGUGUAUCUUGAAUUUUAAAUUUGGGAAAUUUUGUCACGUAGGGUAUUAUUACAAAAGGGAAAUGGGAACUCUUGAAUUUACCUUGGAUAAGUCAAAGUUAGAAGAGGUGGAGAACAUUGUGAAUAGAUGAGGAUGAUUUGUAAAUAAAGAGUGCCGAGAUUGUAGGGGUAAUCCAUGCAUUCUAUUAUCAAGUUGACAAAAAGGGAAAGAGAAGAUGUUUCAAAGAA